rnacentral:rRNA from 1 species
CUGAAAGACGGUUUCGGCUGUCGCUUUAGCUGAUAGGAUGGGCCCGCGGCGAGCUAGUUGGUGAGGUAACGGACCAAGGCGACGAUGCGUAGCCGACCUGAGAGGGUGAUCGGCCACACUGGGACUGAGACACGGGGACUCCCAGACUCCUACGGGAGGCAGCAGGGGAAUCUUCCACAAUGGGCGAAAGCCUGAUGGAGCAACGCCGCGUGAGUGAAGAAGGAUUUCGGUUCGUAUUAGCCAUAAACUCUGUUGUAAGGGAAGCAAGUACAGUAGUAACUGGCUGUACCUUGACGGUACCUUAUUAGAAAGCCACGGCUAACUACGUGCCAGCAGCCGCGGUAAUACGUGGCAAGCGUUGUCCGGAAUUAUUGGGCGUAAAGCGCGCGCAGGUGGUUUCUUAAGUCUGAUGUGAAAGCCCACGGCUCAACCGUGGAGGGUCAUUGGAAACUGGGAGACUUGAGUGCAGAAGAGGAUAGUGGUCCAGUGUAGCGGUGAAAUGCGUAGAGAUUUGGAGGAACACCAGUGGCGAAACUAUCUGGUCUGUAACUGACACUGAGGCGCGAAAGCGUGCAAACAGGAUUAGAUACCCUGGUAGUCCACGCCGUAAACGAUGAGUGCUAAGUGUUAGUCUUAGGGGGUUUCCGCCCCUUAGGUACCGUGCUGCAGCUAAUUAAGCACUCCGCCUGGGGAGUACGGUCGCAAGACUGAAACUCAAAGGAAUUGACGGGGGCCCGCACAAGCGGUGGAGCAUGUGGUUUAAUUCGAAGCAACGCGAAGAACCUUACCAGGUCUUGACAUCCCGUUGACCACUGUAGAGAUAUGGUUUCCCCUUCGGGGGCAACGGUGGACUUGACAGGUGGUGCUGUCGUCCCAGUCCAGCUCGUGUCGUGAGAUGUUGGGUUAAGUCCCGCAACGAGCGCAACCCUUGAUCUUAGUUGCCAUCAUUUAGUUGGGCACUCUAAGGUGACUGCCGGUGACAAACCGGAGGAAGGUGGGGAUGACGUCAAAUCAUCAUGCCCCUUAUUGGGCUACACACGUGCUACAAUGGACGAUACAAACGGUUGCCAAUUGAUCCUCGCGAGAGGGAGCUAAUCCGAUAAAGUCGUUCUCAGUUCGGAUGGCUGCAACUCGCCUACAUGAAGCCGGAAUCGCUAGUACCAGUCA